rnacentral:snoRNA from 1 species
UGCGCCAGUGAUGAUGCCUGGUGACGUAGGAGUGAGUUGCAGAUGAUGAAUGUUAUGAGUCGGGAACUCUUAGGUCCAA